GACAUGUAAUUCAGUGGUGGGACAGUCGAGUGCUUGUAGCUGUUGCUAGAAGUAGAUCAUGGCCGGAGCUCUCACGAUCCUACGGUGGGGUAACGCUGCUUCCCUGCUUCUGGUUCUUUCUUGGCAUGCGUGUACAAGUCAGAAUGAACAUUUAGCUUUCCAGUCUUCUUGCGAUCCCGCCAACUUCUCAACAGCCGAAGCCAAGUGUCUCGACCAGGGAAUGCAACUUUUCAGCAUCGAUGAUUUAGCAAUAGGCGGGGAGUUUAGUGUCGAAGCACAAGAAGACCAUACAUCAAUAUGGAUUAGUGGAAGGAACUGUUCUAUCCUGAAGUUAUCCAAAUUCACCGACGUGAACUGCAGCGAACAACACCAUUAUCUUUGCAAACGGAAUGCUUCAGUGGAAGAAUUGCCAAAGAAUGGUACAGAUAAACGUGCAAUCUAUGUCCCGUGCAAAGCCACUUCAGUUUCUCCACUGUCCUCAUCAACUCCGCUGCCCGUGACCACAACGAACACAAGCACAACUACCUCAUCAUCCACGGGUAGUCCAGGAAUGUCAAACAAAGCCAUUUAUCUGAUCGUCGCAGUUUGUGUCUGUAUCAUUGUGGUGUGUGUCGUUGCGGCUGUGGUCAUCAAACGUUGCACGGCGAAGAAAGAGGAAAAUGUUUCCCUGAAGAACGUCGACGUAAUUCGUGAGAGGGACGAGGGGGUUGCUCUGACAGAAAACAGUGGGAACAAGGACGACACCCGUAUGUAACCAAUGUGGUCCUGGAGUACAGUGACAUUAAGAACUGCAAACAGUGUUACAAGAGUGAUAGUCCGUGUCCAUUAAGCUCAGCAAACACCCGGUGUCCAGAUGUACAAAACUUUCCAGGGACCCUUGGAAUGAACAUCUGAGGAAUGACAAUUGGGUCUUCUUUUUCAGGAAUAUUUCCAAACGUGGUUUACUUUGGAUCAUUGCCUUGGAUUGCCUUGGAUUGCUUAGUGUCAUUGCAUCAGAUAGUCUUGAGUUGCUUACGGAUUACCAUGGAUUGCUUUGGGUCAUGGAAUCAGAUUGCCUUGAAUUGCUUCCGGAUUUCCUUGAAUGGCUUUAGGUCAUUGCAUUAAAAUGCCUCGAAUUGCUUUGGGAUUGUCUUGAAUUGCUUUAAGUCAUUGCAUUAGACUGCCUUGAAUUGCUUUAGGUCAUUGCAUUAGAUUGCCUUGAAUUGCUUCAGGUCAUUGCAUUAGAUUGCCUUGUAUUGCUUUAGGUCAUUGCAUUAGAUUGCCUUGAAUUGCUUUGGGUCAUUGCAUUAGACUGCCUUGAAUUGCUUUGGGAUUGCCUUGAAUUGCUUCAGGUCAUUGCAUUAGAUUGCCUUGAAUUGCUUUAGGUCAUUGCCUUAGAUGGCCUUGAAUUGCUUUGGGUCAUUGCAUUAGAUUGCCUUGAAUUGUUUUUGGUCAUUCCAUCAGAAUGCCUUGAAUUGCUUUGGGUGACUGCAUCGAGUUGCCUUCUAUUGUCUUGAAUUGCUUUGGGUGACUGCAUCGAGUUGCCUUCUAUUGCCUUGAAUUGCUUCAGGUAACCUCGGCGGCUUGUGUAGUGCAGCCUGUGAUACUCUGUUGUCUGUACUGACGCAUAAUACAAAAUGUCGCUGGUAUUUAUGUCGUCUUAAUAUUCAAAUAACGUAACGUUUGCUUGAAAGAUAAGAAUGGAAGGGUCGCGAUUACUUUAUUAACAGCAGCAGUAGUAGUAGUAGUAGUAGUAGUAGUUGCAGCAGUGCCUGUAGUAGUAGUAGUAGUAGUAGUAGUAGUAGCAGCAGUAGCAGCAGCAGCAGCAGCAGCAGUAGUAGUAGUAGUAGUAGUAGUAGUAGUAAACGUUGCUAUGUUCAUUCGUAAAAGUAUAAUCUUAGCCAUACAUUGAACAUAUUGAACGUUUUCCGGAUUAUCACGUGUUGUUAAACACUUUGACUUUUAGGUUGUAAUGUGAUUUUUGUAAUUUAUAAUUGAGUGGUUGAGAUUCAUCUUUCACCCUUUAAACAGAGAUCUAACAAAUGAGAAGAAUGGGAAGGUUAUAAGCAUGAUUGACAAAAUGGUAGUCUUUACUAUUCAAUGCGAAACCUUGUCUUAUGUUUUAUGGAAGGAUUCAAUCGACAAGAGCAAAAACAAAUGUUUUGUUUCCACAACCGCUCGAUCUUUGGGGAAUUAACAAUAAUAAACAACUACAAGCUGCAACGACGAAUAUUCGUCAGCAAGGAACUGUAUUCCUGUAAGAUACGUUAUUAUUGAUCAAAGGUAUAGUAAAUAUGUUAUCUCCACAAACAUCCUGUCCAUAGACGAAAGCCUCCCCUGGCAGAAGUAAUACAUAAGUUCUUGCAUAAAGAUUCAAAGUGACAAAACACUCUAGAUCUCCACAAGACUAUAUGAAGGGAUGACUUCAACUUUACAAUAGUUAACUUUCCCUUCAUGUCGAGAAAUAUUCCAGAAAUAUAUACCUUUGAUGUUUACAUUUCAACUUUGCUCCGAAGUUGUUUUAUCAAGGUUACAACAUUCAAGACCUCAUUAAAUCUAUCAUGGCAGGCAUGUGAAGGACAUUUCCCAAUUUGAGUGAGUGAGUGAGUGAGUAUGGUUUUACGCCGCUUUUAGCAAUAUUCCAGCAAUAUCACGGCGGAGGACACCAGAAAUGGGCUUCACACAUUGUACCCAUGUCGGGAAUCGAACCCGGGUCUUCGGCGUGACGAACAUACGCUUUAACCACCAGGCUACCCGACCGCCCCUUUUCCCAAUUUGAAGCAUCAGUGACAAUCAUUAUGUCAGAUACAUUCACUUUUUGGAUUUGUACGGUGUGUUCCCGUAAUUUUUCAGGUAAUCAAUUUGCCUUUGCAUGUGUUUGUGACGGGUGCCACCUCUGAGUCAGGAUAUGCUCACCUUUUCGCGAACACCAGGUAUCAUCACUCUGUGAUAGUGAUUCAUAAACACAUGUUCACGAUAUAGUCAAAAUCGCACAAUCGACUCUUCUUUUGGCAGAGAUUUCUUAUGAAUGUGGAAAGGAUUUUGUCGUAUUUACUUUACUGCACCUUGCACGUACAACAGGACAACCACUUUCCCCCACAAAACCAACCGAAUCUUAAAACAAAUUUACGCCCAAGCAGAUGACAAAGAACUGAACACAUUCCCACAUUUAAUAGGCACGUCUUGAUAUAGGUAGAAUACUGUUCAAAGUAGCCUUACCCAAACGUAUGCACUCCCCCAUUGUACAGCGACUACAGACGACUGCUCGUCGUUACAUACCCUCGGGCUGUGUAUGCCGACUACAUUGUUUGACAAACAAUGGGUGGGAUGACAUGGUGAUGUGGAUGCAAUGUUGCACACUGAUCUAUUGACCGGGGUAGUGGUAGUAGUAGCAGUAGUAGUAGCAGUAGUGAGUGAGUGAGUAAAUUUACGCCGCUUUUAGCAAUAUUCCAGCAAUAUCACGGCGGGGGACACCAGAAAUGGACUUCACACAUUGGACC
rnacentral:misc_RNA from 1 species